rnacentral:lncRNA from 1 species
UACUUGCAUUUUUUUCUAUCAAUUGACGCUUACAAUUAUUUUUGCAAGUUGGAAAAAAAUGCAGUAUUAAUUUCAUUUGCAACAAAUUUAAUAGAUUAAUUAGGAGAGAAUAGAUAUCUUUAAAAUUGAGUCUUCUGUCCAACUGCAAGUUAUAGCUGAGGUGGUUACCAGUUUAAGAAGUGAGAACUUCUUCACUGACUGAAAUUUGCAUAUCAAUCCAAAUCAUUGUGCUUGUUUACUAUUUUUGUAGACGUCAUUCUUCAAAAGUGCUGCAUCUUUCAUAGUCAAGGAGGACAAAGACAUCUUUCCUGCAGGUGGUGACCAUGUGGAUAAUAGGAUCAUAGACAAAUGGUGGUUCCAUCUACAGCAUCACCAAAAUGCUGUUGUUACUGCUUCUUUCUGGGAUCUUCUUGCAUCUUUGCUUCUAAAGGGGCACACCUUUUAUAGAAGUAUGUCCAGGAAUAGAAGUGACCUGCUUUUUCGCAACUAAUCUACUCUGCUGUUGUGUUACGAAAGCAGCCAUAGGUAAUUUAUAAUUGAAUGAGUGCGCUGUGCCUUUCUUCCAAUAAAACUUUACAAAAGCAUCCUGUGGGCUGGAGUUUACCCUUUGGGAAACCAGAGCAUUGGCUAAACUGGAACCUGAAAAAAUAAUCACAUCAACUCAGCCACAUGGUAAUAAUAUUUAGAGUAUUAUUUCAACAUUUUCAUUUUCAUAAAAAUUUUUUUAGCUCUUUUGCCAAAUUCCAUUUGUGAGUGAUACAAAUGACUACCAUGUGCCAUUAACAUCACCUAAACAGUGCAAAACAAGCAUAGUAGAAGUAAUUGGAAUGAUAUAAACCCCUUGCUGUAAUAGUUAUAGUUGAUAAAUUAUGUUUCAAAAUUGAACCUAUUUCUUCCAAAUUUCAUCUAUAAAGUUCCAAGGAAUUCCAAAAUCUUGCCUGCCUUCUUUUCCCAGUUAGCAGUAUUGUCUGUGAGCAGCCAUGGUGGUAUCCAUCCUCCUCGGACAAUGAAUUUAGCCUAUUUUGACUUCAUUUGAGCAGUUGUAAUUGUUUCACCACAUCAGAGUAAGAUUACUACAUACCAGAGCUAUUCUUUAACUCAGCUUGUAAAAACAUGAUAGCAUCAACAAUACACAUAGCAAAUGAAUGCCAUCUUUAAUCCAAUUAAAUGGUUUUUACAAAUUUGCUCUUGUUUGUUGAUGCUAUCUGCAUUGCAGUAAUUAAAGGUGAGGUAAAAAGAAUGAAUAAACUGCCAAGUUAAAAUUAAAUUUGGACAAUUUCUCUUUUGCAGUAAUGUAUGUAUAUUUACUCAAAACAUAUGCCAAAUUUAGUGUUGAAAGGCUCAUUCAAAUCAAUUGGGAAAGCACGUAAAUGAACAAUUCAUAAAAGAAAAGCAUUGCAAAUGGCCAAGAGCAUAGAAAAUGUGCUCAAUCUUACCAGUCAUUAUAAGGAAAUAAUGAAAUUUGUGUAUAUAUGAAAUACUUAAAAUAUAUAUAAAAUAAAACAAUUAUUUGCCUUUUUUCACCUAUCAGAUUAACAGAUUAUAUGUGUUAACAAGGUGGGGAGAAUUUGCAACUCCUGAUAUGUUAAAAUCUUUCAGGAAGGUAGUAGAAAAUAUAUGUAAGAUGGAAAUUAGCACUUUUGACCAACAAUUUUAGUUUUAGAUAUUUACCUAUAAGGAUAUAAUAGGAGGUGUUCAAAGAUGCAUGUAACUCAAUGUAGUAUUAAUUAUAAUUGUAAAAUAGUAAAUAACAUUUUUGUCAAAUCAUAAUGUUAGGAAAAUUAGUGAUGGCACAUUUAACCAAUUGAAUUAUAUUCAGUUAUGAAUACCGUGAUGCAUGUUCAAAUUAAUUGAUACAAAAAUCCAACAACUUUAGCAGUUUGUUUACCAGUUAUUGAGUACCAACUGUGUUCAACAUUGUUAUUUCACUCAUAUGAAAUGAUAAAUGUAUGUGCUUGUUAUGAUACGGUCAAUAAAACCACUUUUAUAGGAAGAAUACUCACAAAAUACAGCGAGUUCUGGU